GCGCCAGGGAGGGAGGGCGAGUGCGCAGGGGCGUGGGGUGCUCUGCACCGGCUGCGCUCUUGGGCGGGUCUUGUUUUUCAAAGUGGACAGGUCGUGGUGAAGUUGGUUCCCGGGGACGCGUGGCCAAGUAGGGUACGAAGCGAAGUCACUGUCGGUUUUGUGGCCGUGAAGUGGGAAAGUCACGCCGGGCAUCCCUUCACUAGGGCGCGGGUGGGGUGGGGUGGGGUGGCCGUGCGGCGCCCCGGCCGGGUUUGGAGCCGGACCUCGUGCAGCCGGCUCGGGCGCUCGCCUCGCUCCGCCGACACCCAGCCGGCCGACGCGGCCACCUUUCUAGGUUCUGCCCUACAGCUUCCGCUGCAAACCCCGGUCCCCGACCCCGCCACCCGAGGGUCUCCGGGUGCCUAGCCUCGCCCAGCCGGCAGGCGGCGUGCCAGACCUCAGGUGACUUGGAGCAAACUGUGGAAACCAGUAAGCCAAAAGGCGUGGAAGCCGAUACAAAAGGCAACAUUCUGAUGGUGUGCACAGGAUGAGGAGACAAAUGCAGUGAUGGCCCAGGCCUGCGGGAUGUGAUGGUGUUCCCAGGACAUCUGAGACUGUGAUGUAAGGAUGCCCGCACUCGAGGUGUGCUUUGCUGUUUCUCAAUUGCCUUUAUCUGACAUUUCUACAUAGCCAAAGGGAGAGAACACAUCCAAGUGAAAUGUCAGUAGUUGGAAGCAGGAGACACCAACAGAAAGAUUUCCUCCUACUAGGGUACAAAGGUAAAUAAAAGACGGCACUAGGAAAAAAUCAUCUUUAGCAUCUUUAACUUCCUACUUUGUUUAACGGACAUAAUCGGUGAGACAGUGAAGGACAGAUAACAUUUGAUUCUCUGGGGGCAGGCAUGUGGAAGUCUAUGGGCAAUGGCUUCUGUCUUUUGCCUUCUGAGUUAUCCAGGUCUGCCUUACAGACAACCGCAUAUGGAGGGAGGAACAGGAGAACUGUCUGGACAACUGUGCUGUCCUUCAACCACAGAGUCAGUACCAGACGAGAUCAUGAAAGAGGUGAGAGGAGCUGGAAGCAAUCCCACCCCGUCUCUGGGUUUCCAGGGCACUUCCUUUGUGCCCCUGAUGGCACUUUCCCUUUCCUCUCUGACAUGGCUGCUGUUUCCUCUCUCCUGAGCACUGGGGAGGGGCAGCUCUGUGUGAGACUCUUCUUUGAUCAGCACGGAUCCUAGCUGAGGCCUGCCAAGCAACUGCCACAGGACAUACUUCUUAUUGCAAUCAAAGGAGAGGCCUAGAGAAUAGGUGUUCUGUGGGAAGAGUGGACACGGACUUUCUGAGGUAUGUCUGUGUACCACCUGAUGCCCUCAGAGGGCAGAAGAGGGCAUUGGAUCCCCUGGAACUGGAGUUGCAGAUGGUUGUUGGCCACCAUUC